AAAAGCAGAGAAGCCAUGGAUGCAGCUUGACCUAAACAGAUGGUAUUGAUUGGAGACCUUAUAUACUGCAUUGUAUCAUAAAUAGCAAGACCAGCAGUGACUUGGCCGCCGGGGGAAUUGAGGUACAUGUAGAUGGGUUUGGAAGGGUUCUCAGACUCGAGAAAGAGAAGCUGAGCAACCACGACAUGAGCCGUGUCAUCGUUAAUUGGACCAUUGAUGCAAACAAUUCGCUCCUUUAGAAGCCUGGAGAAGAUAUCGUAAGCUCUCUCUCCGCGAGAAGAGUGCUCUAUCACCAUUGGAAUCAGACUGUAAGCACGAGUGGCCCUCAUCGACGGGUUCGACAACAAGGGAAUUUUGUUCCUAAUGGCGGCGUUGGCAAAGAGUUUGGCGCUAGAGAUGAGGCCCCUCAUAGAGACGGUGGCGGGGGGAGUGGUGGAAUUGGGAGAAGACAAUCGGAAAUUUGGAGGAAAUUUGGGGAUUAAGGGUGUAAGUUCGGCGGAGGGUUUGAUUGAGAUUGAGAAUGGCAUAGAGAAUUAUUUAUUUAUUUGAAUGAAAAUGGUUUUGAUUUCACAAAACUCAGAUUGAUUUUGUUAUGGGAUGUGCAGUUUGCGGCCCUAAUUUAUGUUUUAGCUAAAUC
rnacentral:misc_RNA from 1 species